rnacentral:lncRNA from 1 species
CAACCACCGUGGAAGCAGAUGCUUUAGCCUCAGGUGAGGCUCAGGUGCCUCUAGCCCCAGGUGACAGCUUGACUGCAACUUCAUGAGAGACCCUGAGUCAGAACCACCCAGCUAAGCUGCUCUUGAAUUCCUGAUCCACAGAAAUGGACACUUGAAAUUGGAAAUGGCUGAUACUCAAAUGAGUAUAAGCCAAACAUGGCUCAUUUAACAGGUUAACUGACAACACGGCAGCAAAGAAGCGAGAGAGUAUGAGAGAAUGUCAGCAACAGAGACAAAGCUGGCAGGAUGGAGGUCAGACUCUUCUGUAACCUCAACAUGGAAAUGACACCCCAUCAUCUGCACUCUAUUAUUUUUGUUAGAAGCGAGUCACCAGGUCCCGUUUAUACUCAUGGGAAGGGGAUUACUCAAGGGUGUGGGUGGCAGGAGGUGGGGAUCCCUGGGAACCCUAUCAGAAGCUGCCUACCAUGUCUAUAUAAAGUAAUAUUUGAGAUCCAAGUGCUGAUCCAGUACAGAAAAACUCUCCAACCAUUUUUGCCACCUAUAACUUUGCAGUUAGGAACGUCCACAGGAAUAUUAGAACUGUUUCCCUUUGAUAGAAGGCCAUAUGUCAGUGGAGGUGUUUUUGGCGCUUACUAAUGCACUCAGUAACUUGAUUUGAAAAGAGAACUGUGCAAUACUGUAUAAUUUCAAACACUUUCCUAGCAAAAAUAUAUUACCUUUAAUUAGGCUGAUUUAAAGCUGUUAAGAUUCUUGUCAGAAAUAAUUUUUAAGUGGAUGUGUCAAGAUGAAAACAGCAGUUGUCAAGUGAAGAAAGCGGUAAUUUGUGUGUGUGCUGUCUGGCUUAUGAGAAAUUGGGUCUUUAAAUACCAACCAAGCAUUCCUGCUAACAAUUUCUUUUAUAGAAGCCAUUCUGGCAGUUUGGGAUUCAAAAUGUUGGAAUGCUAUUGUUUGUGGUAAAUAUUUGUCCUAUGACUAGGGAAUUAAAUUUAGUUCCUACCCUGUAAUAUAGACAAAAGCAUCUCUAAGAAGAGAAAGCAUUUAAGCAAUUAAAUUCACCAAGUGGUCAAACACAUAGCAUGAGCAAAGCAUUCUGGGUGAUUACAGAGUGGAAUAAUAAUAACAAUAAUGAAGACCACUCUUAGAUGAAAGCAAAUCAGGUGACUUUAAGCACUCGAAAAAGCUUGAAUUCUACUUGCAGUCUUUUUAGGCUACUAAUUUCUUUAGCAAGCUUUUGUUAUUGGGCAGUGAAAAGGAGGGCUUUUGCUUGACCUCUAUGGUAGGGUUUCUUAGUAGUGGCACUGUUGACAUUUUGGGUCACGUAAUUCUUUGUUGUGGGGGGGCUGUCCUAUGCACUGUAAGAUGUUUAGCAGCAUUCCUGGCUUCCCAGGAUGCCAAUAGCUUUGCUCCUCUCAUCCCAGUUGUGACGUUGAAAUAUGUGUGCAGACGUUGCCGGAUGUACCUGGAGGUAGAGAGAGGGGGGGAAAAAAUCACCACACUAUGGCAAUUACCACAGCUUUUGAAUCAGGGAAUUCUAAAUUAACACGAGGUAACAUUAUCUUACUUUUAUCCAUUGCAUUUAUAAAUAUUUUGUCUUUUCUCUUGGUCCUCAAAAGCAAAAUUCCAUAUGCUAUAUAAAAGAUAAUUCAUUCUCCUAGUCAUUGAGCCAGUGAACAUUCACUGAGUGCUUACUGCAUGCAAUCAACUUUCCCCAGGCAUUGCAAAGAAUACAGAAAAAAGUAGGUUUUUGUCCUCAAGAAGCUUGAGAUCUCGGAGGAGGUAGAGAAGGGAUUUAGGUCGUGUAUAUACAUGACUAUCAAGCAAGUAGGAAGAACUAAAUUCAAAUAAAGAAAGAGGUAAAAUUUAUUGAGAGGAACUUUUACUUUUCCCUUGCAGACCAGCGGUGAUUUAGAAGUUUAUCCCUGAGCUGGGAUUCUGGAAUCAGAGUUUAAUAGAGCAAGGUUAACCUAAGUUUUGGGGUAUGAGAGUAGAUUUGGAAUUGGAGCUAGACCUCUGGAACAAAACAUCAAAUCAAUGGGGGUAGGCAGAGAGAUAGAAACCCAGUCUGAAGCCAAAGGUUCUCAACCAGAAAUGGCAAGAUGGAGGGUGCAUGUUCAAGAGGACCAAAAAGCGGGGGAGCCUGGAAAAGGUUGCUGAAACACUGACAAACAGCCCCUGGUCCAUUUUGUAGGAAACUGCUAAUGAGCUCAGGUGCAAUCACAGCUGUAGGAGCACUAAACUGAUUUAAUGGGUGGGAGGCCUUCCAGUGGGACCAGAAUUAUUCUUCUCUUACCCAUGGUGCCCAGGAACUCAGCAGUGGUGUAUGGAAAGCAAUUCCAAGCCAUACACAGGCAAUGGAAGAUGAGAUAUCAGAGGGUCCUGCUUCCAAGUACCUCCCACUGGCCAGCCCUGUGCCCAACAUCUCCACCAUUAGGGCUUUGUCAUUUGGGUGAGUCUUCUGAAAAAGCAAACAUUCUCCCCAAAAUGGUGUUAUUAUCCAUGAACUCGUGGUGUUAUAAUUUUCGAAGUAUAUUCCAAAGACUCUUAAUAGGUAUUACCUUGAAGAGUUUAAUCAACCAAUUAGUUUCUGAAGUGCCUGGUAAAAGAAAUUAAACACAUUUUUUUACUGCAGAAUUUAUAAGAACCUUUAAGAUACAUCAUCAAUCUCAAAUGGAGGGUUAUACUGUGAAACACUUCCAAAAUUUAUUUGAAUACAAAGCCAUUUUAUCGUGUAACAUCUCAUGAGAACAUGGUGUAUGCUACAUGCUUUGUGUAACCCUGCGUGGUUGUGAAAUGAGUGGCUGUUGCCAACUGUCUGGACUUUAAGUGAAUGGGGUAUAGCAGGAAAAAUAUAUCAACAUGUGCAUAUUCACAGACCUCUCCCUCCACACCUGCUAAAGGAAAACUUGACUUUGCCAGUUUGGUUCCACCGCAUUUCUUGCCCCACCAAAUAGAGUUCUGUCUUGAUCACCAGUUUCAUGGUCUUUAUUAUACAUCACUGUAAAUGGUGAAGUCUGGAGAUGCUGGCUAAUUACUCUAAAGAGCAGAUGAUAGGAGAAAAAUAACGGAAAUAUUAAGGGGGGAAUGAAAAGUAGGGCAGGUUUGGAGAGCAGUCGUUGGUGGAGUAGGGCAGGUAACUGACUCUGAGAGCUGCCUUUGUGCAUCUUGGAGUCUGAGAAAGAGCGAAUGCCUGGUAAGAGAAUAUUUUUCUGGACGUGAGAAGAGUAAUUCUUAAGUUGACGUUUUUCCUUAUCAAACUGUAGUAAACAUUUAAAUUGCUUUUUAUUUACUUUUGGUUGCUAGGAUGAAUUUAUUUAAAUAUGAAAAUGAGCUGAAAUGGGGUGUUAAGGUGGGAUCCAAAAGGUCUGUCUUUAUAAAGGCAGUUACAGGGAAUAUUUAACGAGAAGCAGAGAUCCUGGGUUAAGGUGAAAGAGAGUCGGAGUAUGUGAGUAUCCUGGAAAUAAAGGCUUACUGGGAUGAUCUAGUGAAUGUUAUUUUUGCCUUCCCAUUCGCCUUCUCAGAACAACAAUCUCCUUCUUGUAGGAAUUGCUCCUCUCCUGCUCCAUGCGGUUCUGGGGAGCUGCCAAUCACAGGACAUAGCCCUGUGGCCACAGGAAUGGGCACACAUUCCAGUAGGCCUGGUCAAUCAUAGUUGCCCAUUUCCAUGGCUUCAAAGAUGGGCACAUGACCCAGUUCAGGCCAGUCAGACUCCUUCCCUGAAAUUUUAUAUAACAAAAUGAUGGAAUAGAGAGGCUCUGGUGUGACUAAGCAGGGAUGAUGCUAGCCUGUCAUCUGGAUUCACGCUUCUUUUAUCAUUCCAUCCCUCAACCUGGCCACUAGGAAGAAGCCAAUCUGUAGAAAAGAAGGUGGACAUCAGUAGAAUCUGAGAUGGGAGAUGGAGGGAGAUGGUAAAACGUAGUCACACUGUCUAAGUUACUGGGCUCCCCAAGGCCAGCUUACCUCUGCACUUCUCCACUAUUUGAGCCAGACAUUCCAGUUUAGCUUAACUAAUUUUAGUUUCUGUCAUUUGUAACCAAAGGAGUCCCAAUGAUUUAUCCAGCAAUGUGCUGAGUGCCUUGAGGAGAGAAAGUGUAGAUGGCUGUCAUGAGGGAGAAAGGCCGUGAAGGUGGAGAGAGAACGUGUUACUGUAAACUUUCUCUUGAGCUCUAUUUGCUUGGAGCAGAACCUGAUGGGGACCUGAUGGUGUGAGGAGGGAGUGGGAGUCGUAAAGUGAGUGAGAAUUGAGAAAUUAAUUUCCUCUCUUUGCCUUGAAUCGGCUGCCCUUCUGAGGUGAUAAGGCAAGAUGAGCUGGGUUCCUUGGAUGAUUCUUGGGAGGAUCCAGUAAAAUGGCAUAUGUGGAAAAGCCACAAAUCAUUCUAUACACAUUAACUCUCAUGUCCAGUCAUCAAGGAAACGUGUUUCAUUCUGAGAUGAAGAUGGAUGCUCACUGUACAAAUAAAGCAUGUGAGAGGUAAACGGGCACUGUUGGAUACAUGCAUCGUUGGAAGAAAAUAAGACGGUGGCCAUGUCAUUCUGACCCGACUUUCCCUUCUUUGACUUGAUACUCCACCUUCAGAAACAGGGACCUUUGUUCUUAAAUACAGGAAGUUGUAAAAUCUCCAAAAGCAAAUUUCCUUAGUUCUUAGGCAAUACUAUAAGUGAUGGUAUUCUACUGAGUCAACGCCUUGAACAUGAAUCAGGAGAUUAACUUUUGUAGCAAACUGUCAAUCUUUACCCCGAAAUUAUGGGAAAGUCUCCAUGGCUCAGCUCUUCCAGCAACGCUGCUCACUGUGGUGAUAUCUAUGAGUUAACUUCACCAUCCUUGCAGCUGCCAUGUUGUGAGGACCUUCAAGCAACUCUGUGAAGAAUUGACAUGGUGAGGCUUCCUGCCAGCAGCUGGCACCACCUUGCCAGUCAUCUGAGUGAGCCAUCUUGGAAGUGGAUCCUCCAGCCUCAGUCAUGCCUUCAACUGACUCCAACCUCAUGAGGUGCCCUGAGCCAGAACCACACAGCUAAACUUCUCUUCAUUUCCUGACCUAUAGAAAGUACAAGAGAAAACAAAUUUUUGUUGUUUUAAGCUGAUGACUUUGUGGAUAACUUGUUCUGCAGCAAUAGAUAACUAAUGCGUAAUGUUUGAAAGGUAAUCCUAGGAAGUUAAACGAGGGAGUGAGGAAAAUGAGUCAAGGAAGAAGGUAAAGUCAAUAAAGGGUAUGUUAGUGUGGACAACUGGGCUCAAUCUCAUUGGAGAGAUAUUGAGGAUUGUUUAAGAUGUGCCUGAAAACUGAGGCACCAAGGCAUGGAGAAGCUUAUAUAUUUUCCCACCAGCUCUCAUGCCUCAUUGGAUGAAGGUUGCCCAUGGGGAUAUUAAAUCCUCAAUGCUUUCAGGCUUGCCCUUGGGAUAGGAAAGGAUCAGAGAAAAUUCUCAGAGAAGCAGAAAGCUACAGGUGGUUAAAAUGAGAGGCUGUCAGCAUGUAAAAGAACUGUCCACUGAGGCCACAGAUGUACUCGGGGUGGAUUGAGUAGAUUACGGGGUGGAUUAUAGAGUGGGACUUCAAUAGCGUCUGCCACAUAGCUUCACAGUCUUUUUCAUUGCCAUGCUUUGAGCAGCCACUCCCAAUCAAUUAGUGUUGGGAUUUGAGAUAAAAUCCAUCUGACUUCUCUAGUUUAGAAUAUACUCCCCACUCUUUGUUCUGUCCCCUCCACUCAACACCACUUUCCACCUGGUGAAUUCUUACUUAACUCUCAAAGGUCAAAGGCUACCUACCCAGUGACCCUUCACGAAUAAUGUCCCCUUUGCCUGGCUAAAUUAGCUUCCCUCUCUUUGCUGAUGUCUUGCUCUCAGUAGUCACACGGACUGAAAUCAUUUAUGUGUUUACCUCCCUGACUCGCCCGCUGGGGAACUUUUGCUCGUCUCUGUAUUCCUAACGUCUGGCACAUAUUAGGCCCUCAAAAAAUAUGAGCUAAAAGAACAAGACUUGAAGACUUGAGAUAAAGGUACAAGUCUCCUUGGUGUUCCACAGUAUUGCCCCUGAGUUCAUUCUCCCUGCAGAGGUACUCACAGACAUCUUUCACUGUGGGUAAAAGAAACAUGUUUACACACUUUUGCAUUACUUGGAUUACUCUGGAUAGAAGGAGUAAUCCAAGUGAGAAUAAAGAUUCUGCCAAACUGGUUUUGGGAAAAUAUAAUUUUAAGCCUCAGGCCACCCAAUACUUCAAUUUACUUACCAUGUGUAUUUUUUAACCUAUAUUCUACUGACUUGAUAAAGUUUUUUACUUUAAAAAAAUAGAUUCUCCAUAGCAAAGUCAUGGAAUGGUUAUGUUGCCAUGUUAAGUGUGGCAUGAGGUUUGGUUCUCAUUAUUAAACUUUGAAGGAUGAUGUGUAUAUGGGGGGGAAGGGGGGAAGUGACCAGCACUAUUUCAAAGCUGGCAUUGUUUCUAAAGGUCCCUGGAGAAUGUUACUAUCCCCAAACAUUAACAGAUGUCAGUCUCCUGUCCUGGUUUGACCCGAGGCCCUUACCCAUGGUUCGCUUGCGUAGCACUUUAGCCCGUGUGGAUUUCGGAUUUCGUCAUCUUUCCCUUCAGGGUAGGACAAGCAAAGAGAAGAGAAGUGAGUUUCAUUUUGGCUCAUUUUCUUUUGUUUUUAUCUCAUCAG